AGCUGACUAUUUCACAUGAAAACCGGAGUAGUGCGACUGCCACAAGCAUAUAAACCAGAAAUAGAAAUCUGCCACAUGACAUACUGGAACACAGCUAUACUUCACAGACCCAUGGAGAAAUGAAAUAGCCCAUAAGGCAAAUAUUCUACAUAUAAUGAUGGCAGCAACAGCAUAUACAUUCCUAUAUGAAACCUUACGGACUACUGACCCUGAGGUGUGUCUACAGAGCAGCAUGUCAUGAGUCCACUCUGCACUGGGAGUACGAAGGGGAGCAUCUAGUUUGCAGUGAAGAGCGACAUGAAAACCUUCUAUACACUGAUCUAUACUUACGUGGAGUACACAGAGGUCUAUUGUGUCCAGAGAUUACAAGCUGCGUUUCAGCAAAUAUGAAGGAAAAAGAAGAAUCAUUGUCUAAGGUCACACGAUUUGGCAUCAGUGACUUGGCCAUUAUACACAAAAUCUUUCAGUCUCCAAAAACAGCAUCAUAAAAUACAUACAUUACAACAGAUAUUCAGAGGAUAUAAAAAGUCUACACACCCGUUAAAAUGAGA